rnacentral:rRNA from 1 species
GGACUACCGGGGUAUCUAAUCCUGUUUGCUCCCCACGCUUUCGCACAUGAGCGUCAAUGCCAGACCAGGUAGUCGCCUUCGCCACUGGUGUUCUUCCGAAUAUCUACGAAUUUCACCUCUACACUCGGAAUUCCACUACCCUCUUCUGGAUUCUAGCUCGACAGUCUUAAAAGCAAUUCCCAGGUUAAGCCCGGGGCUUUCACUUCUAAUUUAUCGAGCCGCCUGCGUGCGCUUUACGCCCAGUAAUUCCGAACAACGCUAGCCCCCUUCGUAUUACCGCGGCGGCUGGCAC